AUGAUGCUGUUUUCCAGACAGAAUUACAUCAGAGUCUUGAAGCUUCCCAAGAACCUGGCCCCUGUUGAACCCACCAGCACCUCAGAAGCGUGGGCUAAGAACUGGCAGAGGUCUGCAGGAGGAAAUGCUUCAAGAACAUACUACGGUGCCCUGCAAACAGUAAUCCACCAGCAAUAUCUCUUCCCCAGCUGAGAAGACAAAGAUCCAGGGAAGAUGUGACUGUCUGUAACCAAACUGUGAUAACUGCUAUUUGUUUUAGUUUUAAUUUGGAUCCUCUGAAAUGCCCUUAUUGGUGGUGAUAUUUAUUCUUAUUGUCUAUGUGCCUGUCUUCCACUUAGAAUGUGAGCCCCUUUGGGACAACUACUGUGUUUGAAUUAUCUUGUACCUGUGCUAGCACUCAAUAUCCUACCUAAUACAGAGAAAGUGUAUAAUAAACACCAAACUAAUACUCACUGUGACUGAUGAUGGAACACAAUUGCUCCUCG